AUGUCUGCGGCUGUGAUGCAGGCCACAGCGCCCGUAGGGCGCAGCGGCGGAGCGGAGAUUGCGUACGUUAGCUACGGCGGUGAGCAGCACCUCUCACUGGUGAUGUCGCUGGUGGACGCGGAGCUCAGCGAACCCUACUCCAUCUUCACCUACCGCUACUUCGUCUACCUUUGGCCACAGCUCACCUUGCUCGCGUUUGAUGCCAAGGAUGGUAAGUGCGUGGGGACAGUGGUUUGCAAGAUGGGGGAGCACAGAGGCGCCUUCAGGGGGUACAUCGCCAUGCUCGUCGUCCUCAAGCCCUACCGAGGACGAGGAAUCGCAACUGAGCUGGUUACUAGAGCCAUUCGGGUAAUGAUGGAAUCUGGUUGUGAGGAGGUGACACUUGAAGCAGAGGUUACAAACAAGGGUGCCCUCGCUCUGUAUGGCCGCCUAGGUUUUAUCCGAGCAAAGAGGCUGUAUAGAUACUAUCUAAAUGGCGUGGAUGCUUUUCGCCUCAAAUUACUGUUUCCACGCCCCGAUCUUGGUCUAGAUCCAAUGAUGAUGCUUGGUGACGAGAGGGAUGGUCAACACAUGGAUUCCCCUUACUUGUGA
rnacentral:rRNA from 1 species